rnacentral:rRNA from 1 species
UACGGGGGGGGGCAAGCGUUGUUCGGAAUUACUGGGCGUAAAGCGCACGUAGGCGGACUAUUAAGUCAGGGGUGAAAUCCCGGGGCUCAACCCCGGAACUGCCUUUGAUACUGGUAGUCUCGAGUCCGGAAGAGGUGAGUGGAAUUCCGAGUGUAGAGGUGAAAUUCGUAGAUAUUCGGAGGAACACCAGUGGCGAAGGCGGCUCACUGGUCCGGUACUGACGCUGAGGUGCGAAAGCGUGGGGAGCAAACAGG